UUAGGAAUUUUGCGCAAUGGGCGAAAGCCUGACGCAGCAAUGCCGCGUGGAGGAUGAAGGCCUUCGGGUUGUAAACUCCUUUCGUUUUAGAAAAACACAAUGAUGGUAUAAAAAGAAGAAGCACCGGCUAACUACGUGCCAGCAGCCGCGGUAAUACGUAGGGUGCAAGCGUUACUCGGAAUUACUGGGCGUAAAGCGCGUGUAGGCGGUUCUGUAAGUCUGAUGUGAAAUCCCUGAACUCAAUUUAGGACGUGCAUUGGAUACUGCAAAACUAGAGUAUGGGAGAGGUGGGUGGAAUUCCUGGUGUAGAGGUGAAAUUCGUAGAUAUCAGGAGGAACAACAGAAGCGAAGGCGACUCACUGGACCAUUACUGACGCUGAGACGCGAAAGCGUGGGUAGC
rnacentral:rRNA from 1 species